GAAAAGACAACUGAUCUUAUAUUCCAACGUGCUGCUCAUCUCCAACACAAAGUUCAAGAGUGACUGCAGAAUCAAGUACUGGGUGCCCCUGCUGGACAUGUGGGUGGCACACAACUCAAGGAAUGGAGCGAGAGCCCGCACAUCGCUGGUCUUGGGCUGGGAUGACCGCAGCUUCGUGGUCUCUUUUCAUUCAGUCGACAAAAUGGAGCAAUGGUACAAUGAGCUUCAUAGGAACAUUCAGAAUGAGAUUUUGGACUUCCAGAACACCCUCCGAAAG